AUCUGAGACAGGUAGGGUGUGACCUUCCGGCUUGCGCCCUGCCCUUGAGAAAGAUGGCUGCCGCAGCGCAUAUCAAGGCGGAAUCGGGGCGAUGAAGUCCAUGUUUGUUGUGGGCAAGCUGGUAGCCUACAAAACAAUACGCAUGAGUCAGGAAACUAAACAGGUUUCUCCCCGCGUCCAGCUACGUCUUCGGGCCGGGGAGAGAGCCUUCGCGCCGGUGUGACCCGCUUCACGUUUCUGUUACCUGUUUAGGGAAAGGCACAUGGUGCGUCCCAAAGGUCAUGUGAUGAAUUUCUCUGGUUGUUUUACGUGUGUGCGCCAACCACUGCUUUCAGAGCAGGGCCUCCGGGGUGCACCGCGAGGGGGCGUCGGCGCCUGGGCAGGAGAGCGGAGACAUCUUCACUGCCAGACUGGCAAGGUGGUGCUGGAUGGCUGGAAGAGGACGCAUGGCCCCAACAGACGGACAGACUGACAUGGAGCACACAGGAGCAGUCCCUGAGGCCAGGAGGUAGCCUGGGGGGCUCCCUGCACUGGGACAGGGCAUCCCCCUUCUGCCACCCACUUCACACCCAUCCCUUGCUGGAAGAACCAAACAUCCUGGCACCCAGUCUGGGUCUCUCCUAUCGGGGUCAUCAAACCCACAGCUGCUGGGUCCACAGGGACGUCCGCUGGCCCCCCGGAGAUGCCCUCUGCCAGAUGGUCCUGAGAGCCGCCCGCGGUCCUCCCGUCACCACAGCAUCUUCCUCACUCCCGCUAAGUGUUGCUGGACGCCGACGGUGGCCGUGGCUGCGGACCAGACACCCACCUCUUCCGGGCCUGCAGGCCACCCAGGCAAUGUGGGUGGUGGCUGUGUUUGGGGCCCGGGGUGAGGUGUGGGGCAUGCGUCUGUGUCUGCUGCGCUUCCCCAGCAGGUCCCAGCUGAGAGGUUGGAGCUGGCCUUCGCGCUGCCCCUGGGCACCAUCACCAGCACCUGCUGCUGGCCUUGGUGCUGCGUCUGUACCCCGGAGGCCUCUUCCUUCCUCUGCGGCCCCCCAGCCGUGUGGUCACUGGCUGCAACGUCCUGGUGACGUCUGGCCGGAUGCCCUGGGGUAGCGUCUUCUCCAUCAUGAGUAGCCUCGUCUCCCCUGUCACCUGGGCACAGCAACAGCUGCCUCAGCCCCGGCCGUCCUGUCUCCUGAGGCAGGAGCCCGAUGGGCCCUGGCAGACACCUUCAGGGAUCUGCAAGCGAGGCUGCGUCCCCGGGGCCAGGGCUGGGUGGCAUCCAUGUCCCUGAAGGACGGAGGCAGGCGGCGGGUGGAGCGCGCACCCCCCGCUCCGGCAGAGGGGCCCUCCGACCGCGGUCACCGACUUGGACAAACGGACACCUGGGUGAAGGGCUGAACACCCUGCUCUUUCUGGGCGCCGCCGGGGGCAGAGCCGUUCACCAUAGGGGGAGCUGGCCAGGGCUGUGGCGUCCUCUGGGAGUCUGGUCUUCCAUCCCCUGCCGUGUGGCCACCUGUGGUUGGCGGGUCACGUGGGAGCUGAGUGUGACAGAGCUUAGUGGUGGAAAGGGUGGCAACAGCGAAGAGGAGGAGGAUUGGAGAAUAAGCCUCUGGAUCAUCACAAUCGACUUGACCUCCUGUCGCGUUUCCACCUCCGGUUCAGUGUGGACAAAAGGAUUCUUUGCCGCAUUUCGCCUCCUGUGAGAAUUUCCCAGGGGUUCUAGACUAACAGAUUGGAGGUCACUGCCUAUUUUGCUCUGUCUGUCCUCCCCUACACCCUACCUGCACCUUACACGGUGUUCCUUGUUCUCUGGUGCCAGAGCCAAAUACCCACCCCCCACCGCCAUCUCCGCCUUACGGCGUCUCAGUGGUACCCACAGAACCCGGCUGCCUGCAGGCCUCAGCUGCGAAGGCUGCAGCCCCCUGCAGGGAGAGGCCCCCUGUGAAGUGCUGCUGGACCCCUGGCACCAGCCCCACACCUAAAACCCCAUCUUUAACCAGGAUUUGCAGGGAGAAGUGAAGAGAAGCCAAGGAUGUGGGUGGGGCGUAGGGAGGUGAGAGGUGGGAAGGGGUGGGGAGAGGAGGGGCCGCAGGUGUGUCCAGAGAAGUGGGAACCAGAGUGGGAGACUGGUGUGCCCCUCCCUGUCCCAUGAGCAGCACAGCAGCUCAACAGCACGUGACUCACAUCCUGGCUCCAGCACGAAGCAGCGGGGGGACCUCGGUAGUUACUUUACUUCUCUGUCCUGGUUUUCUCAUCUGUUAAAUGGGGUGUGGAGGAUUCCACGGUGCCUGAAGUAGUGUGUUGGCUGUUGUUCUUAACACUUCAUGGAAAAUGGAAUCCGAGAGAAGAGGAGGAAAAGAAAGAGAAGGAAAAGGGGGCAGCUGGGAGAUGGGGACUGGGAGCCAAAGAGGUCUCAUCUGGGACAAUGUUUACAUACUCUGGAGUGAAAUGAAAGUUGUAGAACUGACUCAAGAACUGAGUGAGGGGGGCGCCUGGGUGGCACAGCGGUUGGGCGUCUGCCUUUGGCUCAGGGCGUGAUCCCUGCGUUAUGGGAUCGAGCCCCACAUCAGGCUCUUCUGCUGUGAGCCUGCUUCUUCCUCUCCCACUCCCCCUGCUGUGUUCCCUCUCUCGCUGGCUGUCUCUAUCUCUGUAGAAUAAAUAAAUAAAAUCUUUAAAAAAAAAAAAAAAAAAGAACUGAGUGAGGGAUUGGCCCCUCAAGUCUCUUCUGAACAGUGCUCUCCAGGGCAGGGGUCUGCCUUUGGUUUCCAUACCCACGGAGACCCAGCGGUGAUAACGGAGGGCAAUCAGAAAGGACCUUCUGGGGGCCAGCCCCUGGACAGGAGUGAGGUGGGAGAAGCUAGACAGCGUGGAGCUCCCGCUUCCGUGGCCGCCAUCACCGCCACCAGGCUGACCACCGUGGCAUCUCAAGGGCCCAGAGCAAUGGCUGGGAGCGCGCCCUUGGCCCCCUCUGCUCUAGCUCCAUCCGGGUGCUGAGCAGGAGGGACUCCCGACAGCCACCCAAUUCACAACACAUUAAGCAACGUUAAGAUCUGAGCUUCUUGAUGUUUAAUUUCCUCUCUUUCAUGUUUAAACUGGUUCGAAAACUCCAGGUCUGUUCCCAGUCAAUUCAAGAUGGAAAGUCCUCCCCAUCUAAGUACCCCUCUCUUGCCACCCCCUUCAGCUCCUCCGAGGGCUCCCCUGGGGGCAUCUCUGCUCAUGGGGCCUGGAGGUGUAAGUAUUGACGAGUUUCAACAGGUCCAAGUCCUAGGUGAGUGGCUGUGUGCACACCUACCACCGAGAGGAGAGGGGCGGCAGAGGCCUGGGCAGGUGGCUCGGCACUCCUUGCAGAGGAAGGCAGGCACUGUGGUGAAGCUGGGCCCUGGCUCCUGCAGCAAGCGGCCAGAGAGCUUUGAAACCACAGUGGGAAGGAUCUAGGCUAAGACUGGGUUUCUGAAGGGCUUAGUGAGGGCGCCGUGGACAGAAUGGGGAAAACUGCAAGAGACUCCUCUCCAGAAAGGAGAGAGGCAGAGAAAGGUGGACAUCAUGUCUCAGGGUCAAGGAGUGGCAGAGGGAACAUGCUGCCGGGGCUACACCAGUGCUGUCCCCGUGAGCCGUGGGCUUCUCCACACCCACCCUGGCCUGUGUCUCCAGGCUCCCGCUUCUCUCCUGACCUUCACCGGAUCUGUGGGACCACGUUGGAGGACCCCACAUUCCCCUUUCUUGGUCUGAGUGCUAGUAUCGCCCACCCACACAGGGGUCUUCCUCUCUCCACUCCACCCUGGAGGGGGUCCCAGCUUCCAGCUGAUGCGGCAGACAGCGGCUAAGCCGCAGGUCCGUGAGCUUGACGCUUGGCGCUCCGGAGGGAAGUGGACUGCGCGCCUGCCUGGCUCGGCCAUCCUGGAUGGCCCGGCAGCUCUCCCUUCCACACCCACCCGCCACACAGACCCCUUGAUGGGCGAGCAAGCACCUGUCGGGCAGCGUCGGGUCCGACGUGGCGGGUGGUACAGGAGGCAGGUGCCCGCAGAUUUCAGUGCCUCUCCCCCGCGGAGGUGCGCGCGUGUGCCAGCGCGUGUGCAGCCUGGCCGCCUGGCCGCCCUCCCUCUUCCCCUCCCCCAGCCACAGGGGGUAAGAACCAGAAAGAGGAAAUGAAAUGAAGCAAAACUGAGAACUGAAACAGAUCUCAUCUCUCACCGCCCCUGAAAGAGGUUGCCCCAGGGCUCUGACACGUAAAGACCGAGGGCGGAGUGGGGGCUGGAUCUGAAAACACAGGGCUCUGGGGAGAGGCCGGCAGGAACUGGGCGCAGGAACUGGGCGCACAGGGGAGGGGAGGGGAGGGCGCCACAGGCUGACGCCAUUUCUGAGCAGGGCAUGCAAA